AGUCGAGCGAAAGAAGGGAGCUUGCUCCCGGAUGUUAGCGGCGGACGGGUGAGUAACACGUGGGUAACCUGCCUGUAAGACUGGGAUAACUCCGGGAAACCGGAGCUAAUACCGGAUAGUUCCUUGAACCGCAUGGUUCAAGGAUGAAAGACGGUUUCGGCUGUCACUUACAGAUGGACCCGCGGCGCAUUAGCUAGUUGGUGGGGUAAUGGCUCACCAAGGCGACGAUGCGUAGCCGACCUGAGAGGGUGAUCGGCCACACUGGGACUGAGACACGGCCCAGACUCCUACGGGAGGCAGCAGUAGGGAAUCUUCCGCAAUGGACGAAAGUCUGACGGAGCAACGCCGCGUGAGUGAUGAAGGUUUUCGGAUCGUAAAGCUCUGUUGUUAGGGAAGAACAAGUGCGAGAGUAACUGCUCGCACCUUGACGGUACCUAACCAGAAAGCCACGGCUAACUACGUGCCAGCAGCCGCGGUAAUACGUAGGUGGCAAGCGUUGUCCGGAAUUAUUGGGCGUAAAGGGCUCGCAGGCGGUUUCUUAAGUCUGAUGUGAAAGCCCCCGGCUCAACCGGGGAGGGUCAUUGGAAA
rnacentral:rRNA from 5 species